GGCGGAUGUAGCCAAGUGGAUCAAGG
rnacentral:ncRNA from 31 species